UUUAAGGUUUGGCCUGCUCCAUGAUAUAUUAAAUAGCCGCAGUAUUUUGACUGUGCAAAGGUAGCAUAAUCAUUAGUUUUUUAAUUGAAAGCUGGAAUGAAGGGUCGGAUGAGGAAGAGGCUGUCUCACUAAAAUUUAAGUUGAAUUUUAUAUUUAAGUCAAAAAGCUUAAAUGUUAUAAAAAGACGAGAAGACCCUAUAGAGUUUAAUAGACUAAAUUUUCAAUUUUAAAAGGUUUUAAUUAAGAUUGAUUUUUUGUGUAUUUUGUUGGGGUGACAUUGGAAUUUGAUAAACUUCUUUUCUUAUUAACAUUGAUUAGUGAAUAAAUGAUCCUGAUUUUUGGAUUAAAAGAAUAAAUUACCUUAGGGAUAACAGCGUAAUUCUUUUGGAGAGUCCUUAUCAAUAAAAGGGAUUGCGACCUCGAUGUUGGAUUAAAGUUAAUUUUUGGUGCAAAAGCUAGGAUAUUGGGUCUGUUCGACCCUUAAAACUUUACA
rnacentral:rRNA from 1 species